rfam:Ophiophagus hannah scaffold2660.1, whole genome shotgun sequence.
CCCAGGUAUGGUGACAUGGUGCCGAAGACAAUAGCUGGGAAGAUAUUUGGUUCCAUUUGUUCUCUCAGCGGGGUCUUAGUCAUUGCUCUUCCAGUUCCAGUCAUUGUCUCCAAC